UCAAGGCUAGGGACUAUAAAAAGGAUUAAUGGUCUUUUUCAAAAAUAUUUUGCUUUAUUUAAAAAAAUAUCUAAAUAUAAAAAUGACAUUUGAUGGUCUAAGGGGCAAUGUUUAAAUAUAAAAAUGAUAUUCAUUCGCCUAAGUGAGCACCUUAGUCGUUGAAUGUCCCUUUUACAACAAGGGGUAUUUAUGCCACCUUGGAUGAAAUGAGAAGCAUACUCUCUUAUUUCUGCAUCUAUGGUGAGCCAUUUCCUCAUUUCUUUCUCUUUGUUUUUGUUAACUCAAUCCACUUUAAGAUUAAAAACGGUUUCCUCCUGUUUUUGAAGAUUCAAGCUCUUGUUUCAAGUGUUCAUUGGUUUCGUGAAAUUUCCUUCCCCCCCUUCAAUUUGUCUUUUGGUGAAUCAUUCAAAAGGUAAGUCUCUAGUCUUUGAACCCUUAAAUCUUGAUGCAUGAGAAUCUUAAAUAUACUACUGAGAGUGUCAUGUCCUACCUUUUUCAAUGUUUCUAUUGUGUGCUUUCUGUGAUUUUUUAGGAGUUUCUUGGUGUGGACCAGGUGGUUAUAGAAUUGUUUUUAGUAAUAUUAAAAAUUGUAUUUGGUUUCUCAUUUAAAUUUGUCAAUUGUAGAAUUGGACUUGGGGAAUCAAGAAGGCUACCAGAGUGAGGCAACUGUAGAGUUCCUAGCAAAGAAUGCAUUGAGUAUACAAGAGAUAAUUAGAACUAAACUACCUUUUCAUUUAAAUUAUAAAUGAACUCAACAAUCAACAUACUCAUGCAUCAUGAAAUUGCCAUGAUAUAUAAGGUUGUAUGCAUCUAAAAUCACAAAUAUGUUGCAUUGUAUUUAUCAAUAGUAUUGAAUAGUAGAUAUUGGAUAACCCAUCAGCCCCCUUCUACGAUAUGUACAUAAUGUGAUGGAUGGAAUAAGAUUUGGAUGGCCCAUCUAUACCCCCUCAAUGUUAAAAGAAAGUUUAGAUCGAGACCAUUCUACGCCCAUAACAUCACGGAAUUAUGUAUAUUUAAGAGGAAGCCUUGAGAAGCUCUAGUGAUGAUCAUGCAUAUUAGAUAUCCGAAGGGCUACCGGUGACAAGUCUACUAUGUUUUGAAAUGUUUUAUAUUGUGCAGCACUCAUUAUGCAUUUAACUAAUCUUUUUAAAAUUAAAAUUAUGUAUAUCUACACACUAAGUGUUGACCACCAUAGAAGACUAAAAUAGAAGGUUCCUAACUAAUUAGGCUUGAAUAUAAGAAUUUUAUUUUUAUUGUAAAUAUUCUUAAAUUAGGUUGAUUCUUUAUGUAUAAAUACUCAAAUUUCAUAAAAAUCAAUUUAAUUGAAAUAGAAUUAAAAAUUCCUUCCAAAAUUCUUCAUGAUAUCAGAGUCUUGCAUCCGUAAUUGGCAUAGAUUUUAAAUCAUUCACAAAAAGUUAGGAUUAAUUAAUAGGUCAAGCUUCUAGGCAACUAUAUCAAGAGAGUUGUUCGACACCAUCCGUCUUCAUCUCGAAGGAAAGUCAUCCAAUUUCCGGUCGAUCCCCAACGAUGCAACCUUGCUCCGAGCACGUGCAUGAUUUCACGCAACGACGCGCCGGUGUGUGAGCCUUUCUUCAAUGUCCUUGUUCGAUGGCAAUCCUUUUCAGCCUUCUUUCUGGCACGUCACGCCUCUGAUCGGCCCAGUUCUGUCACCUUGUUCUCCUUUUUUUUUUUCGAGCUGUUUUAAUGGUAACUUUGUCUCCCAUUUGUGGUGUUCCUUGCUCUUUGUAUUGCUGGCCCCAUUUUCCUUUAAAAUGGCAAAUAAGAAAGGCACUGAUGGAGGUGAUGCAAGUAUCUUUGAUACUGCUCCAUGGAUUAUUGAUUCUAAAGCAAAUAGUUAUAUGACGGACUUCUCCAAAGACUUCCUUAAUUACCUUCCGUGUCUACAAAAGGAUAUGGUUAGAAUAGUUGAUGGCUCUCUCACUCCUGUCCCUAGAGCCGGAUGGAUUGUUUGUACUUUCAAUGCUUCUCAGGUUUUAUUAAUAAUCAAAGCAAGGAGAAGCAUAAAAGAUAAAGCCAUUUCAUAAUCUUACACUAGAUCAGCCCAAGAAACAAAAACCAAGCUUAAUUACGAAGUUAAGUGAAAGAACAUGGAAAAAGAACCUGGAAAUUACACAAAGAAAAUAGAAAAGCCAUCAACUUAAAUCACAUAACUACUAAGGUUUAACCAAAUCGGACCUCAGACCAGAACCAGAAAACAUCAGAUCAGAUUAAUCUAGAAUAAUUGCAGCAUUACUAGAAGAAUCGUACCAUAUACGAACAGCUUGAUAUUAACCAACUCAGUACUUGAAAAUAUUCUUAAUAACUAAAAUCUAAUUCCACUAAAUAAAAGAAAUAAGUCAAUUUUUGGCCUGCGCCCCAGCUACCUCGCAUUAAUCUAAGUAAUAUCAAAUUGAAGUGAAACAAUCAAGCAACACAUUGAAGCUUUCGAAAGAUGUAGAGCAGCUAUAAUUGCCACUGACAUAAGAGCUGUUGGUGAACCCAUUUGGGCCAGCCAUUUUGGAGAACCUAUCAUGGAUGAUUUAUUUCGUAGGUUUGAAGAUGUUGGUACCAAUUCCUAAAUCACUAACUCUAAUCAAAUAAAUUGAAAUCUGAAAAAAAAUAAAAAAUAAAACCUGGAGGUGUUGGUACAGCCGGACGAAGGUCUGAUGAGGAGUACGAGAUAAGGCUGCACAACGGACGGACGGACAGCCAGAGGAGGUUGGUAUAGGAGCAGUGAGAGCGACAGACAGGGAGAGGUGUCCAGCGAGAAAGAGGAGAGGAAUAGGGAGCGUGCGAGCGAGAGAAGAAGAAUUCAGGUGGGAGAUUUUUAGGUUAAAAUAUUAUUAUAAUAACUAUGCCCAUUGGAACAGAAAAAAAAAAAAAAAAUACAAAUGUAAGCUUUGUAUGUUAGAUGAUUAAAGUGAAAGAUUAUUGUUAGAAGGCUUAUUAGAUACAAAAUAAAUAAAUAUUUAUAUUAAUUCAUAUGUAUAUCAUAGUUUUAAAUUUAGGAUAAUAAAGUUAAAUAUUUUAAUUUAUUAUAAUUAUAAUAAAAAAUUAAAUUUAAAUUGAAAAUUAAUAAUAAUUUAUAAUAAAGUAUUUAAAGUUUUAUAGUAAUAAAAUAUAUAAAAUUUUAAUUUUAAAUUUUAAAUUGAAAAUAAAUUUAUUUUAUAUUUAUUAUAUAUAAUAUUAAAUAUAUUAUAUUGAAUAAAUAUUUUUUUAUAAAUAAUUUCUCAUUAUAUAAAAUAUCACAUAUUAAUAUGAUAUAUUAAAUUAUUUCAUUAAAUAUUUAUACUAAAUGUUAUUAAUAUAAUACAAUAUUCAUUUAAAGCAUGCAAUAAGUUGUUACUAUUUGAUAGAGCAUAUUUAAUCCACUUUAUCAUUAUGUUCUUAAUGUUUAUUUACAUCAUUUUUAUUUAAUUUUGUGAUUUUAAUCAUGUUUUGUAGAUAUUAGGUGUAAAAAGACAAUCCGGAGAAAAAACUCUUAAAACUGCCAAAAAGUGUCAAAUAUGGAAAGUGUCAAAUAAGGAAAGUUUUCAAAUAAGAAAAGUGCAGAAGCAAAAGCAAAUAAGGAAAGCUCAGUUAGAAGAUUAUUUGAAAUAUAAAUCGCAGAUCUUUCUUUCCUUAUUCAAAUAUGUGCACACAUUGCAGCAGUCAUAUCUUCCUAUUUAGGCAGCAAGAUUUCAUGAAGACGUACUUGCCUCUUCUGCAUUCAGCAUUCAAAAUUCAAACGAAGGCUCCACCUAAAAAGGAAAGACUGGACAGAUUCACUUUUCCUUCUGCAUUCAAUGACUGCGCGCCACCUUCCCUCUACAGUCCAUACCGCGCGCUACCUUCCAUCUGAAGAGCAAGUGUACGCCUCUUUCCUUCUAAAUAAUUUUGGAAUGCGAAUCUUUCCUUUUCAAACACAACUUGGGCAGCAAGUACCUCUAGGGCAACAAGGUCAGCAUCUAAAACCUAUUUAAAGACUCCUUAAAGGCCAGCCGAUCCUCUCUCGACAUUUUUGCAACACCUUCUGCGCCAACUGCUCAUCCAGCUCCAACUGCUCUUCAUCUUCUUCUUCUACCUUUCUUCUUUUCUUUUAUUUUUGGUUUUGGUUCAGCCAUGAGUGGUUGAAACCUUUUAAUCUAGUUGAAGAUUGGUUGAAACUAAGGUUGUUUUAUGGAUUGUGAGAUCUGAACACACAUUGUUUGUCUUUUGGUUAUUCAAUAUUCAUACAGUUCAUGCUUGAAAUCUAUUAUUGCUUUGUUAUUUUGAUUAAAUUUGCCACUUGAUUCUUGAUUGCAAGGUAAUUAAUUGUUAGUUUGGAUAAAUUUAAGUCUGUAAUUGCUUGAAUUGUUCAAAUAUAAGAACACUUGGUGUAACAACUAAGGAAUUGUAUGAUCUAGCAACAUCUCAUGUGUUUGAGUAGUUAGGAUUGGAUCUCUCUCUUUCUUCAUGCAAUUAACAAUUGUUUGAUGCCUAAGGCCCAAGGACGUUCCUUGGCAAUUUAUUAAUUAGUAAUUAAUUAGAGGACGUUCCCUAAUUGGUUUAAUCAUAAGGAGAGACAUAGUGGUGAGAAACGUUUUCCAUCUCCAUAACUAAUCUAUUGAAUCAAUCAAAAGAACGUAAGUUUCAAUUAUCAAUCCGAACAACCGAAGUGGAUCCAUCUCUUCAACUAGACCUUUCUCAUAUUGAUUUCUCUUUUAUUUUCAUAUUCUGCUCAUUUAAUUGCUUUCAGUAGUUUGUUAAUCAAUCAAUCUUAAAACCCCCCAUUUUACUUUUACUGCACUUUAUUUUUGUUCUGCUUUCAGUUACUUGCUUUUAGCUUCUCAUUCAGUUAAUUCUCUUGGUCUUGUUAAGAAAAAUAGAUAAGUUCUCAAUUCUCUAUGGAUUCGAUCCUUUGCCACUAUCUGCAGUAUUAUUAUUAUUGAUAACCGGAAAGGUUAUUUUUGACCGGUUUCGACAACUGCGAGUCACUAUUGUAUGGAGUUGUGUGGGAAGACCUUAAUAAAUCGUAACACUCGAUUAUGCGAUUCUCACUCAUAGAAAAAGAGAUCCGGUCAUUAUGCGAUUCAGUACUCAAAAUGACAAAAGGCUCACCCUUUUAUGAACUGGUCAAACCUUUCAUGACAUAUAUGUUACUGUUAAAGAAUAGAAUCGAGUAGAUCCUCAUUACGCCUAUAAUUGCGAAAUCUCUUUAUCCACUAGCAUGUAUCAGUUAAAUUUUUAGGAGAUUCACCAAUUAUUUUCAUUUUCUUACGGUAUAAAAGUAAAGUAUACACGAAGUUUAAAAUACGCAUUCUCACACACUUUUUUUAAGUCCAAACAAUCUACUUAUACUCUCCCUUUCUGAUAAUUUAUUAACUUGGGUAUCGAAGUAUCUAUCCAUAGGCGCCAACCACCUCACUUUUUUUCUUUUGCAAAGUGACCAAUCAUCUUCAGUUCAUUUUCUGCCACAUUAUUUGGUUCCAUUGCCGAGAUUCUAUUGAGCUCUUCUUGUCUAUUUGGGAUAAAUCUGACUUAACUUUCUAUUUAUCUUUUCACUCAAAGUACUUUUCAUUUCUGUCACUUUACUCUUAAAAUGGCUAAAAAACUCAUGAUGUAACAUCCUCAAACUCAUAGCUAGAGUAGUGUCACCAUUAGGUAUGGGUUAGGUUAAUUCACUACUAGAGCAAGUGGCAUUAGGGGAGGUGUUAGCUUACCCCGAGCUACUUAGGGGAGGUGUUAGCUUACCCCGAGCUACUUAGGGGAGGUGCUAGCAUAACUCUAAACUGCUAAUAACUGAAUCAUAGAAAACUCAAAUAAAAAAAACAAACAUAUCCAGAAAUAAAGUAGACAAAUGAGUCACUUUCGGGAGGUGUUUAGGGUUUUUCGAUGUACUUGCUUGAGAUACUUGUUUAAAUUUGUCAUGCUUACUUAAGUAAAAAGGACUUCUAAAGGCUAAAAGCAUAAUUUAGUAGGCCAAUCUAUGAUUAUUAAAAGUUUAAAAACUAAAUUGAAACAUGGUAAAGAGUUUAGUAGGUUAAAGUGUGAAUAUGGAAAGUUUAAAAACAAAAUUCAUAUUAAUCCUUCAUGUUUUCCACCUCUUCACCUAAACCCUCCAUGUCUCACCUAACUAUGCAUGAAAAAAAUGACAAAGCAAAGUGAAAAAGUGGGUUGUCUUCUCCACCCACCUUGUUGCCGUAGCUCACACAAUUGAAAAACCAAGAUUUUGUUUUGUCUUGCUUCCAUCAAAUCCAAGCCAAAAUCUCACCAAAUCAACUUCUUUCUUUAAUCAAAAUUCACCCUAAGAUCAAUAGCUAAAGAAAGAGCCAAAUAUUGAAAGAAUUGAAGAAGAAAAGUCUAGGGUUCCAUAUGCACCAAGCUUGAAAGUCAAAGGUGAGCUUAGAAAUGUGUAGGAAAUAAUAUCUUCUCAUUUCUUCAUGCAUGAAUUUGAAUUAUAAAAUUUUAAUUUACAAUUUAUUCAAUCCUUCUCUAAGAUAUAAAUUGACCUAGGUGACGGAACAUCAAAGAGAAAGGAGAUAGCUAGAGAAUAGAAGAGAAAAAGAAAGAGAAAUUCAAGAAAUGUUUGAUAUUUGUAUGAUUUUCUGUUUUCCUUUGAUUUUCUCAUUGAUAAGUGAAGUUAGAGAUUGAUUUUACUUGCUGUAAAUUUUAUUGCUUUGAUAGUAUAAAUAUGUUAUAUAAAAGUUAAAAUGGUGUUUGAAAGGUUUAAAGUAAAGAAACCUAACAUGAGAGUUAAAAGUGCAAACCUGGCAGGAUUGGUUUUAACAGGGCAGCAUGUGUUACUAACUUCAUAACUUAUUAUGUAGUUAUUGAAAUUAGACCUAAAAUAUACCAAAUAAAAGCUGAGACAAAGAGAUUAAACUUUCUUGAAUUGAUAAAAUUCUGAACCUAUAGCUAAGAUAAUGUAAAUUGCUAUUAAAUCUAAACUGGACACAGUAAUAGUGCAUCCGGAACAGAGUGUAUUGAUUAUACCAUAACUAAUUAUGUACUCAAUGAAAUUUAUUAAGACCAGUGCCAAAUGAAUCUUAAGAAGUAUACCUAAAACUUUAUAGAGGAAACUUAAGCUUGAAUUUGUAUGAAAAUAUAUGAAUCUAAUAUGUUUUGUGAUACUAUAAACAAGUACCAAUAUUGGACUGAUUAAGAUCUUAUUGAGCAGCUUAUAAAGAAAAAUUCAUAACUUAAGCUAGGGUGAUCAGAUUUGCAUGAAUUAUAUCUUGUUGGAAAGAUAAGAAAUAAAUGUACAUUUGUUAUGAAGAAACUAAAGUCAAAUUAUUUGAAAUUCAAAUGACAGAUCUUUCUUUCCUUGUUUAAAGAUGUGCAGACACUUCAGCAGUCAGAUCUUCCUAUUUAGGCAGCAAGAUUUCAAGAAGAUGCACUUGCCUCUCUUGCAUUCAGUAUUCAAGAUUUGAAAUUCAAAUGAAGGCUCCACCUAAAAAGGAAAGAUUGGACAAUAUAUCUUUCCCUCUGCACAACCCCAUCCGCGCGCCACCUUCCUUCUGAAGAGCCAUCCGCGCGCCUCCUUCCUUCUGAAGACCUUGCAACGCGAUUCUUUCCUUUUCAGACACAACUUGGGUAGCAAGCACCUCUUGGGCAACAAGUAAGGACCUAGGGCAACACUUUCAACUAUAAAAAGACACAUAAGGAGCCUCCCCAUGCUUUUUCUACUCUUCUUUGGACACACCUACGGGAUUGUAAGUGGCACCAUCUCUUCUUCUUCCUUUCUUUAUUUUUGGUUUUGUUUCAGUCAUGAGUGGCUGAAACCUUUUAUUCUAGUUGAAGAUUAGGUGAAAUUUUGGUUGUUUUAUGGAUUGUGAGAUCUGAACAUACAUUGUUUGUUUUUUGGUUAUUCAAUAUUCAUACAAUUUCAUGCUUGAUUCCAUUAUUGCUUUGUUAUUUUGAUCAAUGUGGCCACUUGAUUCUUGAUUGCAAGGUAAUAUAUUGUUAGUUUGGAUAAUUUUAAGUCCGUAAUUGCUUGGAUUAUUCAAACAUAAGAACACUUGGUGUAAAAACUAAGGAAAUUGUAUGAUCUAGCAACAUCUCAUGCGUUUGGGUAGCUAGGAUUGGAUCUCUCUAUUUCUUAAUGCAAUUGACAGUUGUUUGUUGCCUGAGGUCUAAGGACGUUCCUUGACAACUUGUUGAUUAGUAAUUAAUUAGAGGACGUUCCCUAAUUGGUUUAUGAUUAAGGAGAGACAUGGUGGUGAGAAGCGUCUUCCAUCUCCAUAACUAAUCUAUUGAAUCAAUCAAAAGAACAUAAGUUUCAAUGAUCAAUCCCAACAACUGAAGUGGAUCCAACUCUUCAACUAGAGUUUUCUCAUAUUUGAUUUCCCUUUUAUUUUAUUAUUCGCUUAUUUAAUUGCUUUCAGUAGUUGUUAAAUUGAAUCAAUCUCAAAACCCCCCCAUUUUACUUUCAGUUUAUUUGCUUUCAGUUUAUCUCAUUUCAGUUUACUUCUCUUUCAGUUUAUUUUUGUUUCAGUUAAUUCUCUUGGUCUUGAUAAGGAAAAUAGGUAAGUUCUCAAUUCCCUGUGGAUUCGAUCCUUUCACCACUAUCUAUAGUAGUAAUAUUGUUAAUAACUGGAAAGGUUAUUUUUGACCGGUUUCGACAACCGCUAGUCAAAAAUUGGCCCUGUUGCCGGAGAGUUUAUUUAAGUUGUUUGUUUUUCUUUCAGGACUAAAUCAGGAAAAAAGCACCACCGAAUCUACCUCUGAAGAAGCCACCAUCGCAAAUCUCUUCUGAAACAUCUCCAUCACACAUCUCACCUUCUCUUCGCCAUUCGGAUUGCCUAUCCUUUCAUCAAAUCAAGUCACCAUCGCAAAUCUGAAUCAUGGAUGAGGUAAGUACAUUUGUUCUCUAUUCUCAACUCACAUCUGUUAUGAAAGAUUUUGCCAUAGGAAUAGCUCGACAGGUUCAAGCAUCCCAGCCACCUAGGCCAUGUGGGAUUUGUGCAUAUGUGGGACAUCCAACCGAUCAAUGUCCUACACUUUAUGAGUAUAACCAACCAGUGCAUGCAUUUGGAGGAUUCUAUGAACAGCCAAGACAUGAUCCCUACUUUAACACAUAUAAUUCAGGUUGGGGAGACCAUCCAAACUAUGGCUAUACUGGAGCUAACAAUUACCAAAAUUAUCAAGGAUAUCAAGCCCAACCAGCACCUCUAAGUACCAACCAGCACCUUGAGAAGAUGAUGGAGACAUUAGCGAGUUCUAUGCAAAGCAUCCAACAGCAGAUAGAACAAAUGACCACCUCAUUAAAUGCAAACAUGUUAAGAAAAGAGGAAGAGUUUCAAGAUGAUGAGACAGAUGAUGAAAGUUCGCAAGUACAAGAACAAGUUGCUGAAGAGAAACAACCAGAAUACUAUUUGUCCAAACAAACUGGUCAAACAGAACCUGUUGAUAGUUUAGAUAUCGUUGAUUAUUUGAGAAAAGAUGUUUUUUAUAUGAAUCAAGAUGAUAUUCUGAAUAAUGAUCUAUAUAGGGAAGAGAGCCAAAAAAAGCCAGAACUGAAAGAAACUGAUUGUUGCAUCCAACAGAUGGACUGCAGCCAUGCGCAGAAUGAAGAAAGCUCAAUCGUACCUCUUCAGAUGAGUUCGCAGAAGAGCCUUACACAAACAGAGGAAAUCCAAACCGAAUCUCUUCAGCUUCCAUCGCAGGACAAUCCCACCAUUCUCCCAUUUUAGACAGGCCUUGUGCAGGAUAGUCCUGCAACACUUCCCAUCGCACCUAUUCAGCUUCCAUCGCAUGAAACUCCUUUCGGCCUUCUACUGCAGACCAAUCAUGCGCAGAAGGAGGCAACUG
rnacentral:lncRNA from 1 species